CACGUAGGGCGCAAGCGUUGUCCGGAAUUAUUGGGCGUAAAGAGCUCGUAGGCGGUCUGUUGCGUCCGCUGUGAAAACUCGGGGCUUAACCCCGAGCCUGCAGUGGAUACGGGCAGACUAGAGGUAGGUAGGGGAGAAUGGAAUUCCCGGUGUAGCGGUGAAAUGCGCAGAUAUCGGGAGGAACACCUGUGGCGAAAGCGGCGCACUGGACCACAACUGACGCUGAGGCGCGAAAGCUAGGGGAGCAAACAGG
rnacentral:rRNA from 1 species